CCAAGCUGCUGAGUUGUAUUUUGGGAUGGGCGCCCUCAUAAUGUCAGUACGGUCGUAAUUCCGGCAAGCCGGAUGUAUUCUGGACGCGGGUUCGACUCCCGCCACCUCCAGACCAAGGGGGGUGUUUUGGCUUCGACAGGGUAUUGAAAGUAAGCAGGCGGCCCGAGAGGCGACGGACGUAAUCCGCGCAAAUCCACAAACGCCAACGAUGAGCGUUUUGCACUGGCCGCUUAAGGCCUAUGCCGAGGCUGCUUGAGCCUUGUAACCAAAGAAAAGCCGGCGGGGACUUCGGUCCCCGUCGUUA
rnacentral:tmRNA from 1 species